GGAAGUAAAAGUCGUAACAAGGUCUCCGUUGGUGAACCAGCGGAGGGAUCAUUACUGAGUUACCGCUCUAUAACCCUUUGUGAACAUACCUAACCGUUGCUUCGGCGGGCAGGGGAAGCCUCUCGCGGGCCUCCCCUCCCGGCGCCGGCCCCCACCACGGGGACGGGGCGCCCGCCGGAGGAAACCAAACUCUAUUUACACGACGUCUCUUCUGAGUGGCACAAGCAAAUAAUUAAAACUUUUAACAACGGAUCUCUUGGUUCUGGCAUCGAUGAAGAACGCAGCGAAAUGCGAUAAGUAAUGUGAAUUGCAGAAUUCAGUGAAUCAUCGAAUCUUUGAACGCACAUUGCGCUCGCCAGCAUUCUGGCGAGCAUGCCUGUUCGAGCGUCAUUUCAACCCUCAAGCACCGCUUGGUUUUGGGGCCCCACGGCACACGUGGGCCCUUAAAGGUAGUGGCGGACCCUCCCGGAGCCUCCUUUGCGUAGUAACUAACGUCUCGCACUGGGAUCCGGAGGGACUCUUGCCGUAAAACCCCCCAAUUCUUUACAGGUUGACCUCGGAUCAGGUAGGAAUACCCGCUGAACUUAAGCAUAUCA
rnacentral:rRNA from 1 species